rnacentral:rRNA from 1 species
UACGAGGGGGGGCAAAAUGUUGUUCGGAAUCACUGGGCGUAAAAGGGUGCGUAGGUGGUAAGGUAAGUCAGGUGUGAAAUCUCCGGGCUCAACCCGGAAAUGGCAUUCGAUACUACCUUGCUAGAGGGUUUGAGGGGGGACUGGAAUACUUGGUGUAGCAGUGAAAUGCGUAGAUAUCAAGUGGAACACCAGUGGCGAAGGCGAAUCCCUGGAAAAUACCUGACACUGAGGCACGAAAGCUAGGGGAGCAAACAGG